CCCAGCAGGCCCCGCCGCGGCACCGGCCCGCGCCCGCCGCCGACGCCACUUCCGCCCCGCCCGCCACGUCACCCGCCCGCCCGCCGGAACCGCGGGGGCGCUCCCGGAGCGCUACGGGAGCCCCGCGGGGCGGGCGGGGCGCGGGCAGCGCCGGUCGUACCGGAUGGGAUUGUAACUGAUAGUUGGUUUUGAUCCGUAAAGGAAUCGAAGGGUCUUUGGGAAGGGCGGGACUGCGUGCAAGCACCCUGCGGAGCACAAGUGCCUGAAAGGAGGCUCCGGCGGGGCGGGGGUCGCUCUGCUCCCGGGGAACCAGACAGGACAAGAGGCGAGGGGCCCUGGCUUGGACAGCAGGCGCAGUUUCUUCACGGACGGGCUGCUCAAAUACUGGAAGGGCUGCCAAGGAGGUGGUGAGGCACCUGGCCCUGGAGGCGUUUAAGAAAGUGGACAGGGUCAAGUUGACACGGGGAUGUCCAGGCCGAGGUCGGACUCGACGCUCUCAGAGCUUUUCCAAGCUCAUCCGUUCUGUGAUUCUGUGAAAUGCAGGGUCCCGUUCCCUGCACCCUCAGACAAGCAGCACUCGGAGCCGCGGGGCCCGGGCGGGCACUGAGGCGGCACAGCCACACCUGGACCUUGUUCAGGCUUGGCCAGGACGAAGCCCACAAACCUGCCUCCAAACUUGGACCCACCUCCAACUACAAGUCCGCAGUCAGAAAAACCAAACCAAACAAAGCCUUCAAUGCAAAAAGCUCAUGGUCUUUAACAUUGAUUCAUCAGACAACUUUAAAAUUAAGCACAGUAAAAAAUUUCAGAAGUUAUCUUAUACAUUCUUUAAAAAGGUGGGGGGGGGGCUAUAUUAUCUUCUCAAAUGAAUAGAACCAACAAACACACAGACAGACAACAAACGCCAUGAGCAGAAGGCAGGAACUCUUGUGCUGUUACAUGUCAUCCAUGCUUUGUAGAGAUGAUGCAGAAAACCAAUUUCCCUGUUACCAUCAUAGCUAUGCUAAAAGCUUUUCCUCUGGUGGUUUCACACAUUCCGUCUACCUUCCCUGAAUGUAUUUCACAAGAUAAAUUUAUCUGAAGCCUUUUCCACAGAUUCAGGAGACAGUGCAUGCACUGUUUUCAGUAGAAGUGAGGUCCCUGUACAGAUACUUGCCAAAACCCAUGCUUGCAUUACACACACACAUACAGACUAAAAAAAAAAUAAAACCUAGACAGUUUUGAUAACACAAUAUGUUUCUUUCUAGUCAUUGCAUCUCAGUCCAAAAUAGAGUCGCUUACCCUUGGGAGACAGAGAGAGGAGGCUUCAGCAUCUUCAGUUUAUUCAGUACUUAAGUCUCUCAGUCAGCACCAGGGCCAACCAGAGCCAUCUGCUGCAGCAGGGCUUGCAGGGCAUGCUGUACAAAGAACAAACACUCCCCAGGCCUGCCAGCUGGCCCCCGAGUGGUGGAUUGGUUGGUGCCCCUACAAUUGGCCAGGCCACUUGAGUUGUUACAAGCAAUUUUAUUAUCUGUUCAGUCCUUCCAUCAGAAACACUGUUCAUAUUUCCCCUUCCACUUUCAUUCCCAAGCAUAUUCUCAAGUAGCCAGCAAUCUGCAUGCACGCUGUUUUCUUCUCUGGUCUCUUCUGAUCUUCAGUUUCAGUGCAUUUCCCAUCCUGGGUGGAAGCAACACACACCACAUGCUCACCAGCACAAAAUACAGAUGCAGGGGCUGCAUGCAUUGAAAUGUAAGAGGCUGAAAGCAAUUAGAUGAAUCCAACCUAUGUGGAGCACACACACAUUGGUAGCUAAGCAGGUGCAUCACUGUUGGCCUGUAAGAGGCUUGAAAAAGAUGUGACUGCAUCCAAUUGUUUACCUGCAUCCAACAGUAAAGCCAUCUUAGCGCUGUUCCUUUUUUCCUCAAUAGGAUGAGUCUUGCAGUGAUUGUUGGUUACUGAGAUCCCUCACUAAUCCAGCAGCAGUGAGACAGGAAUGCCUGAAACUACAGCUGCAUCUUCAGUUUCCCUCCCUUAAGGAGUGCACAAGGGGCCUGAACAGAGUGCAGUUAUAGCAUAGCUCAGCUCCGCUUUUGGGAGAGGUCUCACCCAGAGCUCCACCAGCAUUUCUUCACUUAUCCUUGCUACUAUUUUCCUCAUUUCAGCACCAAAACCUCCUUGCCUCCAUCCAAUUUGAGCUAACAGAGCUGGAAACCUUGUUUCAUUCCAAGAGCACAGGAAGGCAGCUCUCACCUCACCUCCCCUGGCUACAGCGAACAAGAGCAAACUCACUGAGAGUCUAUAGUAGCAGUUACUGGAGACAGCACUGAGGUUUCUUUAAAAAAUAAAAUAAUCAAAAACAAUCAGAAAGGACACCUCUCUAUCUGGUGUGCUGUGUAUGCAGCACAACACUUGCAUCCCUCUGCCAUCAAAAGGAGAAAGUUUAUGAACUGCAUUUGGAGUCACCCAAAUCCUGUGAGUCUAACGCAUAGAUGACAUUUAGCAUAUGCCUAUAUCCCUGGAAGCAGCAGGGGCUUCUUCACCUUCAUUCAGUGCUGGUCAAGGCACGGUUGCUGCCACUUCUGCAGCUUCACACAUUGGCAUUGCCACCCUGUGAGAGUAAGGAACUGCAACUCUGUCACCUGCCCUCCUACAGAUGAAGGGGAGCUGACAUGAUCAGACAGAAGCUCUCCAUGUCCCACCUAUACCUGAGGGAUCACCUAGUACAGAUGUAUCUGUCUGUUUCUCAAGCCAUUCCCCCCUCUUUCAUCCCUGAAAGCCAAGUAUGUAAUGAUGUUUAAUUCCCUGCCCUGAAGGUUAUCUUGCAGAUUCCCAUCUGUGUCCCUCAUGGACAACCACAGCCUUGAACUGUCCCCCAAGAGAUGGGAUAUGCACAGAAUAUUUCAAGGUCUGGAAGAGAGCCAAACCAGGAAGUCUCCUUAAGUUUGUAAGACCCCAGGCAGAAAAAAGGCUGGACAUAGCUGCUGCAGAUUCACACUGGUAGAAAGGGACAGUAGAGCAAGCAGAGUCCAGCCCCCAGGCUGUCUGUUUCCACUGCAGCCAGCUAAAAUACAGCUGGUAUUUGUGAGGGGUGUGCACUGAUAACUGGAGACUCACUGCUAUUGCAGAGUAUGAAGUGAAAUGCAUUCAUAUUGCUGCAUAGUGACCACAUGUAAGAGACACAGAACACAGCACUGCCACCAAUUCCUUCUCGAAUUUGAGAGCUCAGUCAUGUGAUGCUGUAACACCAUAGCUGCA